rnacentral:rRNA from 1 species
GAUGAACGCUGGCGGCGUGCCUAACACAUGCAAGUCGAGCGGCAGCGAGGGGUGCUUGCACCCUGUCGGCGAGCGGCGGUCGGCUGAGUAACGCGUGGGAACGUGCCCCAAAGUGAGGAAUAACUGCCCGAAAGGGUAGCUAAUACCGCAUAUUAUCUUCGGAUCAAAGGAUUUAUCCGCUUUGGGAGCGGCUCGCGUCGGAUUAGGUAGUUGGUGAGGUAAUGGCUCACCAAGCCGACGAUCCGUAGCUGGUCUGAGGGGAUGACCAGCCAGACUGGAACUGAGACACGGUCCAGACUCCUACGGGAGGCAGCAGUGAGGAAUCUUCCACAAUGGGCGAAAGCCUGAUGGAGCAACGCCGCGUGCAGGACGAAGGCCUUCGGGUUGUAAACUGCUUUUAUAAGUGAGGAAUAUGACGGUAACUUAUGAAUAAGGAUCGGCUAACUACGUG